UGAGGAAUAUUGGGCAAUAGACGCAAGUCUGACCCAGCCAUGCCGCGUGCAGGAUGACGGCCCUACGGGUUGUAAACUGCUUUUAUACGGGAAGAAACUCUCGCUCGUGAGCGGGACUGACGGUACCGUAAGAAUAAGGAUCGGCUAACUCCGUGCCAGCAGCCGCGGUAAUACGGAGGAUCCUAGCGUUAUCCGGAUUCAUUGGGUUUAAAGGGUGCGUAGGCGGGAUAUUAAGUCAGUGGUGAAAUCCUGCGGCUUAACCGUAGAAUUGCCAUUGAUACUGGUAUCCUUGAAUGCAGUUGAGGUAGGCGGAAUGUGUAAUGUAGCGGUGAAAUGCUUAGAUAUUACACAGAACACCGAUUGCGUAGGCAGCUUACUAAACUGUGAUUGACGCUGAGGCACGAAAGCGUGGGGAGCAAACA
rnacentral:rRNA from 1 species